rnacentral:rRNA from 1 species
AGGGCUGCAACCCGCCCUCAUGAAGUCGGAGUUGCUAGUAAUCGCGGAUCAGCAUGCCGCGGUGAAUACGUUCCCGGGCCUUGUACACACCGCCCGUCACACCAUGGGAGUUGGGAGCACCCGAAGCCGGUGAGGUAACCGAAAGGAGCCAGCCGUCGAAGGUGAGACCAAUGACUGGGGUGAAGUCGUAACAAGGUACC